AACGAACGCUGGCGGCGCGCCUAAUACAUGCAAGUCGAGCGAGAAGACGUAGCAAUACGUUUGUAAAGCGGCGAACGGGUGAGGAAUACAUGGGUAACCUACCCUCGAGUGGGGAAUAACUAGCCGAAAGGUUAGCUAAUACCGCGUACGCUCCUUGGACUUCGGUUCAGGGAGGAAAGCGAUACCGUGGGUAUCGCGCUCUUGGAUGGGCUCAUGUCCUAUCAGCUUGUUGGUGAGGAACGGCUCACCAAGGCUUCGACGGGUAGCUGGUCUGAGAGGACGAUCAGCCACACUGGCACUGCGACACGGGCCAGACUCCUACGGGAGGCAGCAGUAAGGAAUAUUGCGCAAUGGGCGAAAGCCUGACGCAGCGACGCCGCGUGGGGGAUGAAGGUCUUCGGAUUGUAAACCCCUUUCGGGAGGGAAGAUGGAACGAGCAAUCGUUCGGACGGUACCUCCAGAAGCAGCCACGGCUAACUUCGUGACAGCAGCCGCUGUAAC
rnacentral:rRNA from 1 species